rnacentral:rRNA from 1 species
UGAGGAAUAUUGCGCAAUGGGGGCAACCCUGACGCAGCGACGCCGCGUGAGUGAGGAAGGCCUUCGGGUCGUAAAGCUCUGUCAAGAGGGAAGAAGUGCAUGGUGGUUAAUAUCUGUCAUGUUUGACGGUACCCCUAAAGGAAGCACCGGCUAACUCCGUGCCAGCAGCCGCGGUAAUACGGAGGGUGCAAGCGUUGUUCGGAAUCACUGGGCGUAUAGGGCGCGCAGGCGGCCUGAUCAGUCAGAUGUGAAAGCCCACGGCUUAACUGUGGAAGUGCAUUUGAAACUGUCAGGCUUGGGUACCAGAGGGGAAAGUGGAAUUCCCGGUGUAGAGGUGAAAUUCGUAGAUAUCGGGAGGAAUACCGGUGGCGAAAGCGGCCUCCUGGCUCAUAACUGACGCUCAGACGCGAAAGCUAGGGUAGCAAACG